UACGUAGGCAGCAAGCGUUGUUCGGAGUUACUGGGCGUAAAGAGUGCGUAGGUGGUGCCCUAAAGUCUGUUGUGAAAUCUCCCGGCUUAACUGGGAGGGUGCGGUGGAAACUGGGUGCUUGAGUGUUGGGAGAGGUAAGCGGAAUUCCUGGUGUAGCGGUGAAAUGCGUAGAUAUCAGGAGGAACACCGGUGGUGUAGACGGCUUACUGGACCACGACUGACACUGAGGCACGAAGCGUGGGUAGCAAACAGG
rnacentral:rRNA from 1 species